CAAUCCUGAGGGGACAGCCCAUCGGAGAAGGACACCAGCCCCAACCAUCUCGUAGGCUGACAUAGAACCAGGCAGGCAUUGUAGACCCGUUUCCCAUCGCUGGUGUCCCCAUGAAGCUCUGACCAGGCCAAAGGAGAAAACCAGAAACACGAGAAGAGAAACACUGCCCUUUGAAAAACACUUCAGAUGGAUGAAAUAAAUGUUG
rnacentral:lncRNA from 1 species